CUGACAUACUCGGCAAAGCUCUAGAGAUAGAGUGGAGGUUAUCCCGGGAUACAGGUGGUGCAUGGUUGUCGUCAGCUCGUGUCGUGAGAUGUUGGGUUAAGUCCCGCAACGAGCGCAACCCUUGUCUUUAGUUACCCAUCAUUAAAGUUGGGGACUCUAGAGAGACUGCCGGUGAUAAACCGGAGGAAGGUGGGGAUGACGUCAAAUCAUCAUGCCCCUUAUGGCCUGGGCUACAAACGUAAUACAAUGGCGUAUACAAAGGGAUGCGAAAGGGUGACCUGGAGCAAAACUCACAAAGUACGUCUCAGUUCAGAUUGGAGUCUGCAACUCGACUCCAUGAAGGCGGAAUCGCUAGUAAUCGCGGAUCAGCAUGCCGCGGUGAAUACGUUCUCGGGGUUUGUACACACCGCCCGUCAAACCAUGAGAGUUGGUAAUACCCGAAGCCGGUGGCCUAACCUAGUAAUAGGAGGGAGCCGUCGAAGGUAGGAUCGAUGAUUAGGGUUAAGUCGUAACAAGGUAGCCGUAA
rnacentral:rRNA from 1 species